AUACGUAGGUGGCAAGCGUUGUCCGGAAUUACUGGGUGUAAAGGGAGCGCAGGCGGGGAGACAAGUCAGCUGUGAAAUGUAUGGGCUUAACCCAUAAAUUGCAGUUGAAACUGUUUUUCUUGAGUGGAGUAGAGGUAGGCGGAAUUCCGAGUGUAGCGGUGAAAUGCGUAGAUAUUCGGAGGAACACCAGUGGCGAAGGCGGCCUACUGGGCUCUAACUGACGCUGAGGCGCGAAAGCUAGGGGAGC
rnacentral:rRNA from 1 species